GUGGGCGCUGGUGAAUACCUGCUCCUGCAUCUGGAUCAAAAUGAAGGCUGCGCAAGUGUGUUCGCCCACA
rnacentral:tRNA from 1 species